rnacentral:rRNA from 1 species
UACGUAGGGGGCAAGCGUUGUCCGGAUUAUUGGGCGUAAAGAGCGUGUAGGCGGCCAUACAGGUCAGCUGUGAAAACUCGAGGCUCACCUCGAGACGUCGGUUGAAACCGUAUGGCUAGAGUCCGGAAGAGGAGAGUGGAAUUCCCGGUGUAGCGGUGAAAUGCGCAGAUAUCAGGAAGAACACCCGUGGCGAAGGCGGCUCUCUGGGACGGUACUGACGCUGAGACGCGAAAGCGUGGGGAGCGAACAGG